UAAACAUGCCAGAUUUAAAAGGAAAGAUAUAUGUGUGUGUGUGUGUGUGUGUGUGUGUGUGUGUAUAUAUAUAUAUAUAUAUACA
rnacentral:miRNA from 1 species